AUGUCCAUGGAAGUCCCUGAGGACUUCCAGCCUCUGAGGAGGAGCAGAAGGAAAUGGAAGACAAAGUGACUAGUGCAGAGAAAGCUGAAGAAGCAAAAUUAAAAGCAAGAUACCCUCAUCUGGGACAAAAGCCUGGAGGUUCAGGUAUUUUAAGGAAAGACUGCAGAAAGGGCAAAAAUAUUUUGAUUCUGGGGAUUACAACAUGGCCAAAGCAAAAAUGAAGAACAAGCAACUUCCUACUGCAGCCCGGAUCAGACAGAGGUCACUGGUGACCACGUUCCCACUCCACAGGACCUUCCUCAAAGGAAACCAUCUCUUGUUGCUAGCAAGCUGGCUGGCUAAUUAAAAGAGCUGAACUGCAUGAAUCUUCUAAUUCCCAUUAUUUCUCCUUAAUAUGUUACUUCUCCGCUUUUUAUUUCCUUUCACUCACUAAGCCAUUUGAGAAUUAUGGCUUUGCAGGUAGUGGUAGUGUGUAUGUAAGGGAAUAUACAUGUGUAGAGUUUUGAUUAGUUUAACAGUGCACUGAUAAAAAGAACAUGUUAGAGCAACAUAAAGUAAUCUACUUGAAAAUAAUUGUAUAUAUUACCUAACUCCAAGUGUAGGGCUGGUUCCAACAAGUAACAAGCAAGUUUUACAAUUUUAAUGUUUUGGCUUUCUUUAAUUCAUCUUAGUUAUAGCUUUGUAUGUUACUCUUACUUAAUAUAACCUCUGUUGUAUUGAUUUCUUCUGUAUUUUCCUUUUGGAUUUGUAAACAGAAGUUUAAGACCACAAGUUAGAAGAAAAGUCACAUAUUUCAAACACAAAUAGAUGGGGCUUCAAAAGAUUUGUAUCCUGUGCUUGAACUUGAAUGGCCUUAAAUCUGUUUCAGCUUUAACAAUAGAAUUUUACUUGGGCAAUAUUUGCCCAUUCUGGUGUAACUUAUGUGACUCUAAUGCUUAAUAGCUGCUGUUGAAGCUAGU